rnacentral:rRNA from 1 species
CCUACGGGUGGCAGCAGUGGGGAAUAUUGCACAAUGGGGGCAACCCUGAUGCAGCGACGCCGCGUGAGUGAAGAAGUACUUCGUUAUGUAAAGCUCUAUCAGCAGGGACGAAAAUGACGGUACCUGAGUAAUAAUCCCCGGCUAACUACGUUCCAGCAGCCGCGGUAAUACGUAGGGGGCAAGCGUUAUCCGGAUGUACUGGGUGUAAAGGGAGCGUAGACGGCAGUGCAAGUCUGGAGUGAAAGGCUGGGGCUCAACCCCCGGACUGCUCUGGAUACUGUACGGCUGGAGUGCAGGAGAGGUAAGGGGAAUUCGUAGUGUAGCGGUGAAAUGCGUAGAUAUUAGGAGGAACACCAGUGGCGAAGGCAGCUUACUGGACUGUAACUGACGUUGAGGCUCGAAAGCGUGGGGAGCAAACAGGAUUAGAUACCCUUGUAGUC